rfam:Salmo salar isolate Sally breed double haploid chromosome ssa22, whole genome shotgun sequence.
UGGCUCUGUUGGUAGAGCAUGGUGUUUGCAACGCCAGCCUGGUGUGUGCAACACCAGGGUUGUGGGUUCGAUUCCCAC